rnacentral:rRNA from 1 species
GACGAACGCUGGCGGCGUGCUUAACACAUGCAAGUCGAACGGAAAGGCCCUGCUUGCAGGGUACUCGAGUGGCGAACGGGUGAGUAACACGUGGGUGAUCUGCCCUGCACUUCGGGAUAAGCCUGGGAAACUGGGUCUAAUACCGGAUAGGAGCCAUUUUUAGUGUGAUGGUUGGAAAGUUUUUUCGGUGUAGGAUGAGCUCGCGGCCUAUCAGCUUGUUGGUGGGGUAAUGGCCUACCAAGGCGGCGACGGGUAGCCGGCCUGAGAGGGUGGACGGCCACAUUGGGACUGAGAUACGGCACAGACUCCUACGGGAGGCAGAAGUGGGGAAUAUUGCACAAUGGGCGCAAGCCUGAUGCAGCGACGCCGCGUGGGGGAUGACGGCCUUAGGGUUGUAAACUCCUUUCGCUAGGGACGAAGCUUUUUGUGACGGUACCUAGAUAAGAAGCACCGGCUAACUACGUG